CUUGCCUCGGGCACGGCCCGGUGGUGUGAGGGGCAGCGGGAGUCGGGGAGCGGGGCGGGCGUCCCCCUUAGCGAGAGGUGAUCCCCGAGCCCUGCUGGAGCCUCCAGCAGCCCGUCGGCAGGCGAGAGGUUCCUGAAGGUUUGGCCGGUGCCAAAAUACCAAGCGUUUGGCCAAAGCUGCCCCUUUCUGAAGGGCAAAAACACAGUGUGGUUCAGUUCCCUUCUGCUUAAAGACGCCCAGUAGGUGAAUAAGUAGAAACGCCUUAUUUCUAGGGGUAAAAACCAAGGUUUGAGAGAUGAGAUCCACAGCUUUGAAUAUCUUGAAGGACAUGUCGUCCCAGCAUCACGUAGUGCAGCAAGCAGAGGAUAUUACCCAGAAGACUGAGCAGAGAUCUGGACUGUUGAAUCCAAGCUACAGGAUAUAUCCCACAGCACUGUGGGUCUGGAGCUAAACAGGGACAGGAAAUGAAUCCAGCCUUGGCCCCCUCUGCCCACACUGGGUGAAGGGCUCCAGGCGCCUCUGAUAAUGCUGCAUCAAAGAUUUUCCACAUGGGCUGUCUGCUAACUCAAAGAAUAAACUUUACCAGUCUGUGCAUGUAACGAAUGUUCUGACAUCCCCUUGCCCUUUCUGUGCUCUCUCAUUCCUCUUGUUAGAAAAUGAACGCCAGAUUUUGAACAGUUGGAGAGCUGAAACUGAAUCUGAAGUUUACAAAUGGCUCUAGGUUGGGAUUUCCAAAGGAACAAUGUGGUGGUAAAAUUACUUGGAGUAUUCUCUGGCAACAUGAAGUUAUUAGGCAGCCAGCUUCCAUUAAAUAUCAGGAGAUUUUACCUUUGCAUGCAUGGUUCUGCUGCUUUAUCCUUUCUUUAUCAGGACAAACUAAAUUUUAGUUUAAGAGAGAUGGUGCAUUCAGUGUCUGGAGCAAUAGGCUGGGUUUUGAGAACAGGUUUCCAAACCCUGACCCACCAUAUCCUUCUUAUAAGAGCUUGUGUAGGACAAUCAAAAUUCUUUGAUUCAAAAUGUAUUGAUUUCCCACUUAAAGAGAUGAUAGUAAGUCUUUAUUUCGCAAGAGGUAUUGGGAGGAUUAGAGAUUAAACUGUUCCUACAGGGUAAUGAGGGGACUGUAUGCAGCUGAGGUGUGUUUGAGAACUCACAGUCUUUGGGCUCAGUGGGACUCAGAUCUGCUGCUCAUGUUUUGGGUCGAUAUUUAAUUGUCUUAAGUGGAGGUAAAACAUAUAAAUAAAAUUUCCUUCAUGCUGGGAAUUAAGAAGCAAUAUUAUACUGAGUAGGAUGGAAUUACUCUAGAAACUGAGAACAGAUUAUUGGUGUGAUACACGGGUUGUUGUUAGAUCCUUUCUGAUUUGAUGUAGCAUAAACAAUUUAUAAUAGAAUAUGGGGUUUAAACUGUGUACUUAUCAGUGUUUUAUUUGUGUACUUUUUUCAUAAAGAUUGAUGCAGAGGAUUUAAUCCUUACUUAUCAGAUUGAUCAGAGAGGUUAUAGAGCCUCCGUGUUUGAAGAUACUCAAACUCAUCUUAGAGCAGUAUGAUCUAAGUUGGCCCCUCUGGUCAGGGGAUUGCACCAGUGACCACCAGAACCCUCUUCUGGCAUAGAUUACUCUGUGAUCCUAUGCCUUGGUUGUGGUAACAUUGUGAGAUCACCAUUUGUCUCUUUGCUACUUAAGAUGGCAUAUCCUGCAAACAAAGGUUUUCUCUAGCACUAUGGCAGUAUGAAGUUGAGAGAGCGCUCCUUGCUAUAGCCUAAAAAAAAAAUUGGAGGCCGCCACUGGCUGAACUUAAACUAAUUUAAAUGAACCUUCCAAGAAAACUUUCCUUUACAGAUGUUUUUAUGAGUUUCUGUAGUUUGGUGAAUGAAUGAUGUGACCUUUCCUCUUACGUCUGCUGCUUGGUUUAUUCUGUGACAAUAUGCUACAAAACAAUGGGCAUUAAGCGACGAUUGGUACGUUCCUCAGGUACAUAAUCUGGGAUGUAGAAUAAAGGUUAAUCAUGUGUUUGUUUUUUUUUUUUUCAAAUUUCUAUAUAGCCAAUUGCUGUUGACACUUACACGUGUCUGUGUAGUGCCAUACUUGGUAAAAGUAUGUCUUUAAAUGGAAGAUGAGAGGUAUUGUUUUCAUUUGUUAAUGCGUCUGUCACACAAAAGUUGUUUCCUCUUGUUGGAAUUUAUUUUCUUCUAAUUUAGUUCAGCUCUAAAAAUGUGCAUCCUAGGGCCAACAGAAGACUUAACAGGGACUAAGCAUUGUUUUUGAUGAACAGUCUAUGAGCUUUUUUUGAAAUUGAGGACUUUGAGUUUUAUUGUAAUUUCUUAAUGAAAUGUCUGGAUGGCUUUAGUAAAAUUUAAAACUCAUCUUGUUACCAGGAGUUACUGUUUGAAGAAGGAUGGAUUUUCUCAUGAACAAAGUUCUCUACGUUUUACUUAAAUUUGCAAUAUACAUGAAAAUUGCCUAAUUCAUAGAAGUACUUAAUUUCCCCCUUAUGGCAACAGAAGGGACUGACAUGCAGUUGUUUAACACCUCUGAAAUACAGGAUAGUCUUGCAUUUCUUGCAUUCCACAUGAGACUUUCAGGUGUGCAACGAAUAAAAUGUCAGGCUUGUCACUUAGUGUAUUGUGUGUGCCAUCUGCUUGUGAAUUAAUGACGUGAUAUUUUAAUGAUUAGCAGUGUGAAGAGCUAAUGUAUGUGUUAUCUC